rnacentral:rRNA from 1 species
GACGAACGCUGGCGGCGUGCUUAACACAUGCAAGUCGAGCGGAGCGGCGAACGGGUGAGUAACGCGUGAGUAACUGCCCCCCUCUCUGGGAUAACAGUUGGAAACGGCUGCUAAUACCGGAUAGUGGGGGAUGACUCGCGUCCUAUCAGCUUGUUGGUGGGGUAGUGGCAUACCAAGUGGACGACGGGUAGCCGGCCUGAGAGGGCGACCGGCCACAGUGUGCUGGGUGCCGGCCCAAACUCCUACGGUGGGAAGCAGUGGGGGAGAUUGCACAAUGGGGGAAACCCUGAUGCACCAACGCCGCGUGCGGGAUGACGGCCUUCGGUUGGUAAACCGCUUUCAGCCAUGACGCGGUAGUGGCAGAAGAAGCACCGGCUAACUACGUGCCAGCAGCCGCGGUAAUUC